rnacentral:ncRNA from 2 species
UCUAAACUUUAGGAGUAGCUAUUAAAUUAGUUUGAGAAAAAUCCUUAGAACCUGAUUUGGUUAAUACCAACGUAGGGAAAAGUUAGAGGUAUUGC